rnacentral:rRNA from 1 species
GAUGAACGCUGGCGGCGUGCCUAAUACAUGCAAGUCGAGCGAACGGACGAGAAGCUUGCUUCUCUGAUGUUAGCGUCGGACGGGUGAGUAACACGUGGAUAACCUACCUAUAAGACUGGGAUAACUUCGGGAAAACGGAGCUAAUACCGGCUAAUAUUUUAAACCGCAUGGUUCAAAAGUGACAGACGGUCUUGCUGUCACUUAUAGCUGGAUCCGCGCUGCAUUAGCUAGUUGGUAAGGUAACGGCUUACCAAGGCAACGAUGCAUAGCCGACCUGAGAGGGUGAUCGGCCACACUGGAACUGAGACACGGUCCAGACUCCUACGGGAGGCAGCAGUAGGGAAUCUUCCGCAAUGGGCGAAAGCCUGAUGGAGCAACGCCGCGUGAGUGAUGAAGGCCUUCGGAUCGUAAAACUCUGUUAUUAGGGAAGAACAUAUGUGUAAGUAACUGUUCACAGCUUGACGGUACCUAAUCAGAAAGCCACGGCUAACUACGUG